AUUGAACGCUGGCGGCAGGCCUAACACAUGCAAGUCGGGCGAGCGGCGGACGGGUGAGUAAUGUAUGGGGAUCUGCCUGCUGGAGGGGGAUAACUACUGGAAACGGUAGCUAAUACCGCCUACCAUCAGAGGAACCCAUAAGGGAUUAGCUAGUAGGUGAGGUAACGGCUCACCAAGGCGACGAUCCGUAGCUGGUUUGAGAGGACGACCAGCCGCACUGGGGCUGGGACACGGCCCAGACUCCUACGGGAGGCAGCAGUGGGGAAUUUUGGACAAUGGGGGAAACCCUGAUCCGGCCAGCCCGCGUGUGCGAUGAAGGCCUUCGGGUUGUAAAGCACUUUUGGCAGGAAAGCGGUACCUGCAGAAUAAGCACCGGCUAACUACGUGCCAGCAGCCGCGGUAAUAC
rnacentral:rRNA from 1 species